GACGAACGCUGGCGGCGUGCCUAAUACAUGCAAGUCGAACGCAGUGGGGACGGGUGAGUAACACGUGGGUAACCUCCCAUCAGACUGGAUAACACUUGGAAACAGGUGCUAAACCGAUACUGAUUGAUCGACCCGCGUUGCAUUAGCUAGUUGGGGGGGUAACGGCUCACCAAGGCUACGAUGCAUAGCCGACCUGAGAGGGUGAUAGGCGACACUGGGACUGAGAAACGGCCCAGACUCCUACGGGAGGCAGCAGUAGGGAAUAUGCGGCAAUGGACGAAAGUCUGACCGAGCAACGCCGCGUGAGUGAAGAAGGUUUUCGGAUCGUAAAGCUCUGUUGUUAGAGAAGCGGUAUCUAACCAGAAAGCCACGGCUAACUACGUGCCAGCCGCCGCGGUAAUAC
rnacentral:rRNA from 1 species